GCCAUCUUUCGACCCAGUGCCAAGCGUGACGCGAGAGUGAAAAAAAGUGACGCGACCACGCGACAUGUGCGUUCUUGUUUUGUGACCAAUUUAGCCACCUUCAUGUGCGGAUAUUCAUCCAGAUUCUUAUCUAAAGGUUCUUCCGGAAGCUUCUUUGGCCUUCGUUUCACCGUUUGAUUGACCUUUUCUUCGGUUUCAACGUGAGGAAGAGCCCCAGGACUCGAUUGUCACAGCGGGUCUUUGGCCUUGGAGAUUUAGAAAAAUUGUCUUCUGAUGGAGUGGGAAAUCUUGGAUACUGUUUAUUUUACAUCUGCGCUUUCUGUACCACCUUAAAUUAUUUCAAUAUGAUUUACACCGUCCACUUCAAAAUAACUACUGAAUUUUCACGUAAGCUCUUCAAGUUUCAACAGAAAAAUCUCAGGAGUGGACGACAUCGGAUAAGGGAGUCUUGAAACCGUCAUUUACCGCCUGUAAUCACCGAUGGAAACAAGGCACUAAACACUAUACCUUUGGAAAUCAUCGCAUACAUUAACUAGAAGAAUGAAGGAGUUCAACUUUUCUGUGAAUGAUUCUAACGGGUUUAAUAUAAAGACCAUUCAAACUUUUAUAAGAAGGUAGAUAACCAGAUUUUGAAUACAAAAGAUGACGUUUUUAUAUGCAUUUGAUUUUAUUUUAAAAAUCCAUUUUGCUCUUGAUAUUGAUUUAUAAAAUGCUACUUAAACUUCUACAAAAUUAUUCUAAAUUAUAUUUGUGAAAUUACUCUCUAAAAGAUAUUAAUUUCUCUAUUAAGUCUUUCGCAUCUCUUAGUAAUCUAAAUUAAAAUUUAAAAAAAACUGAUAGUUUUACUAAAAUCUGUCUGAGGAAUGUACGAAAAAAAGUGUGAAAUUGCCUUGUUAAUAAAAAUUGAAUUUAAAAAG